AUUGAACGCUGGCGGCAGGCCUAACACAUGCAAGUCGAACGAGUGGCGGACGGGUGAGUAAUGUCUGGGAAACUGCCUGAUGGCGGGGGAUAACUACUGGAAACGGUAGCUAAUACCGCAUACUAUCAGAUGUGCCCAGAUUGGAUUAGCUAGUUGGUGGGGUAACGGCUCACCAAGGCAACGAUCCGUAGCUGGUUUGAGAGGACGACCAGCCACACUGGAACUGAGACACGGUCCAGACUCCUACGGGAGGCAGCAGUGGGGAAUUUUGGACAAUGGGCGAAACCCUGAUGCAGCCAUCCCGCGUGUAUGAUGAAGGCCUUCGGGUUGUAAAGUACUUUUAGCGGGGAGGCGUUACCCGCAGAAGAAGCACCGGCUAACUACGUGCCAGCAGCCGCGGUAAUAC
rnacentral:rRNA from 1 species